UAGCGAAGGGGGCUAGCGUUGUUCGGAAUCACUGGGCGUAAAGCGCACGUAGGCGGAUCUUUGAAGUCAGGGGUGAAAUCCCGAGGCUCAACCUCGGAACUGCCUUUGAUACUGGGGGAUCUCGAGUCCGGGAGAGGUGAGUGGAACUGCGAGUGUAGAGGUGAAAUUCGUAGAUAUUCGCAAGAACACCAGUGGCGAAGGCGGCUCACUGGCCCGGAACUGACGCUGAGGUGCGAAAGCAUGGGGGAGCGAACAGG
rnacentral:rRNA from 1 species